rnacentral:rRNA from 1 species
UACGAAGGGGGCUAGCGUUGUUCGGAAUUACUGGGCGUAAAGCGUGCGCAGGCGGCUUCUCAAGUCAGGGGUGAAAGCCCAGAGCUCAACUCUGGAAUUGCCUUUGAGACUGAGUGGCUUGAGUACGAAAGAGGAUCGCGGAAUUCCCGGUGUAGAGGUGAAAUUCGUAGAUAUCGGGAGGAACACCAGUGGCGAAGGCGGCGAUCUGGGUCGAUACGUGACGCUGAGGUGGCGAAAGCGUGGGAGCAACAGG